GGGCUGGUAAAUGACAAAGCAAAAGAGACCUUGGUGAGCUGUUUCACUUGGAUAAUGGAUUUUUAAAUUAUUGACAUCCAUUCCAGCUACAUAAUGAUCAUAUUUUUUACUUGCCUAGGACAAAAUGAGGGAAUUGCAGGCUACAACUUCAAUGACUAGCAAGGAAAUAUGCGAGCAAGAACUUGGUUACAUACCUGGACACAUUCGCGGUCGUAGUGCAACUAAGAAGCAAGCUGCUGAGGUAGAACGCUGGAGGCAUGAGAUUGAGGACAGCCGAAAAAGAGCAGAUGAAGCAGAAAAACGAGCUGCAGAAGUAACUCAACAAUUCACUGCUCAGCAAGAGUUGAUUAAGACCUUGCAACAGCAACAAACAGAAACAAGAAGCCUGUAUGAUGAGUUAGCUAACCAGCUGAAAAACUUGCG
rnacentral:lncRNA from 1 species